rnacentral:rRNA from 1 species
CCUACGGGUGGCUGCAGUGGGGGAUAUUGCACAAUGGGGGAAACCCUGAUGCAGCGACGCCGCGUGGGCGAAGAAGUAUUUCGGUAUGUAAAGCUCUAUCAGCAGGGAAGAAGAAAUGACGGUACCUGAGUAAGAAGCACCGGCUAAAUACGUGCCAGCAGCCGCGGUAAUACGUAUGGUGCAAGCGUUAUCCGGCUUUACUGGGUGUAAAGGGAGCGCAGGCGGCACGGCAAGCCUGAUGUGAAAGCCCGCGGCCCAACGGCGGGACUGCAUUGGGAACUAGCGGGCUGGAGUGCCGGAGAGGAAGGCGGAAUUCCUAGUGUAGGGGUGAAAUGCGUAGAUAUUAGGAGGAACACCAGUGGCGAAGGCGACCAUCUGGAAGGUGACUGACGCUGAGGCGCGAAAGCGUGGGUAGCAAACAGGAUUAGAUACCCGUGUAGUC